CUUCCCACUGGUCAACUGACAUUUAUACAAAUCCGGAAACAAGGGACAAACAUACAUGUCAAACCCCUACAUCAGAUUUCAACAAUAACUUUCGACAAAUGCAAGGAGACAAGCGUAAAUGUAAUAAUUCAACUGAGACGCUACUGACCCAGAAAACAAACUGAACGGAAUAGACCUUAACUGGUAGCAACUAUGAAGAAACGAAUAACUUCGUUUGCGAAUUUCUGCGCGGGAAAAACCAUUACGAAAAAAAUCAUUAAAAAUUAAAAUCAUUAAAAUCACGAAAUCGACGAUUUCGUACGUACAGAGAAUUAUCGGCGUUAAGAUAUUUGUUUACAUGCACACGUACGAGUCUGUUCACCGAAACCGCGGGCAUCGCAUAAAUGCACCGUCAUUCCGCUCGAAUAUUUCGAACAAUUAUCCUGAGUUGAAAACAUGCGAAAACUUUUCCUCGUUGCCAUGCAAAAUGCUCGAUUUUUGCUCUCGGCCAACUAUCGCUGCCGCGAUAAACUCUUGAUCUAUUCGAACGAACUAUGAAGACCACUUGCAGUCGUCGGCAUGCACAUCUUUUUUUUCGGCUCGUUCAAUAAGUAACAUUAUUUGUUUGCGACGAACUUUGACCCGGGGGAAAAAUUUCCGGUGGGUCAUCGACGACCCGCGAUACGAUCCAUCUCACUCCGUUCAUCGAACGUCGUCGUGGCAGGCGUCUCGUGGUAGUCGAGUGUCGCCGCGCUUCCUCUAGAUCGCUGCCAACGCGAAAUGCAAUAAACACGAUUGCACAAACUGCCGAGAUUUUAAUAGAAGACCCGUGGCAUUUGUAUCUCGCUCUGUACACCGUACCAUUGCCUCGAGAACUCGCGCAAUGUGAAAUCUUUAAAAUCUCAUCACACACACACACACACACACAAAUCAAGCGCUCCCUCAAUAUUGACAACCAUAAUGAACGAUGCUACGAGCUAUAACAAGCUCAACGACAAACGCAUCGCCGCUCCCAUUCAAAACUCCGAAGCGCGGCCUCAAUGGUACACACCGCGACAAAACUGUAGGACGCUGUCGAAUUUCUAGCGUUUCUUAAAAACCACG